UACAGGGCUUGCAGGUCUGCAGGGUACAGCUCAAAACCUGGCAGAGCAUCCAGGAGGCCAAGGAAUCUCCCAGGAGCACUAAGAUGUCAAGAAAAAGGGAUGUGGAAUGGGAAGUUGCAGGAGGUGGCCACAACUAACAGACUGUAAAGUCAAAGUCUGAAGCCAAUGUAUCAGCUGUUAUUCCCACAAGAAGAGAAGGAAGCCCAGUGCCACUCUCAGAGCCAGGAACUGGCAGUCAGCACCCUCGCAGCUCUUGGUUCUUUUGCAGGAUUAAUUCUCUGUGAAGAUGCUUCAUUUCUGCUCCCUCAACUUCACCAUCUAUAAAAUAGGAGUGAGCAGUGUCUAGAAUAGCCAGAAGUCCAAAGGCAGAAACAGGCUGUAUAUGAAAUGCUUGGUGAGAUUGUUGGAUAAAGAAUUACAUAUGUGCUUUCCCACUUGCAGAUUUAACUCAUUUGUUAUGUUAAUGCAUACUAAAUAUUAAAAGGACAGCAGAAAGUCCAAACCUUAUUUGCAGAAAGGGCUUCAAGUACAGCCAGUUUGGAAAUGUCCCUCUGAACUUCUUGCCUCAUCCGACUGGCUUUACUAACUCCGGCACUAGCUGUAGUAUGUGAUGAGGGCCCCAGACCUGCAGUCUUAGGGCCACCCACUCCACACUGCUCUCCUCUUCCCCCAGCUUUGUGCCAUGGCCUCCAUUCUUACUUGACAAUAAAAGAUCACAAGACUGA